rnacentral:rRNA from 1 species
CGGCGGACGGAUGAGUAACGCGUGGGCAACCUGCCUUACACAGGGGGAUAACAGUUAGAAAUGACUGCUAAUACCGCAUAAGACCACAGUACUGCAUGGUACAGUGGUAAAAACUCCGGUGGUGUAAGAUGGGCCCGCGUCUGAUUAGGUAGUUGGCGGGGUAACGGCCCACCAAGCCGACGAUCAGUAGCCGACCUGAGAGGGUGACCGGCCACAUUGGGACUGAGACACGGCCCAGACUCCUACGGGAGGCAGCAG